UUGUGUGGAAAGUAGGUUGGACGUUAUUUGUUGGGAGGAAAAGUGGGAGGAGAGAAGGGUGGACCUUAUUGGGUAUUUACAUGUUAGAUCAACCCAAAGGCGGAGCACAGAGAUAGGGAAGAGCAUUCGAGAACUUUUGAGUGAACACAAAAGACCCUCCAGUGAUGGGAGCAGACGUACUGGAUGGGAGCAGACGUAAUCAGGCGUCUAGUCUAUCAUCGUUCAGGCAAUCUUUGGCCGAGUUUUCUUGGGGACAGACGGACACAGAACAGCACAAAAGGAAUUACAACAUAUGAAGGAUGGGAAGAUGACCCCACCAGACCCCACAGCUUGUCAUGAGAACAAGUUACACAGACGGAUGCUGUUCAAACAGUUUUCCUGAACAGCGAGGUUUGUUACCCUUUUGUUCUUAUUGCUCAUAUAGUUUGAGUAUCCAAAGUCAUAGAGGUAACAGUGGGCAGAAUGGUGGGUUAAAAAUGGACCUUUAAAGGCACAAGGGGGCUUAAAUGCACAAACAUCGGGAGCAUUGAAAACUAGUACAAACCUAUGAGUGGAUGUUGGGUGUUGGUUGAUCUACUAUACUGGGCACUUAGUUUUUUCGAACCUUUAUUUAUUGAUUAUGUGAAAAAAGACAUUUGACAGCUAAGCAAUCUAAAGAAACCCAUAGGGAUUCAUUCAUGUUGACAUAUUGAUCAUGGAAUAUGUUUGUGUCCGUCAACUAUACCUAACCUGUUCUAUAUUAUUUCUUUCAGUUCUACAAGGCGACAACGACAACAGUCACAAGAAAUUAAUAGUUGAACUUGGACGGCAAUCAGAUUGAUAGUAACCGUAGCUUUACAAUGCAUCACAAUCUAUCACCUCAACGAAACGGAAGUCAAUGCACAUGUAGUCAGGCUUGACUCUAUAGUUCCAGGAAUUUUGUCAGCAUGCAAACAAUUUAUUAUACGGUCAACAGAAUUACAAAAGAAAUGUUUUGCUUGAAUGUAUUACCAAGUGUCAUUGUUAUAGAAGUAAAUCCAAAGUUAUAAGAAUGACGCAUCUUUGCCAUGUUCUGCCAGGUUUUUACAUUCUCUGUGUUUGUGUCUUGAGAUAUGGUAAAAGUAUAUAUGAUGUGUAUGUUGAUGAAAUAAAAGGUAUAGGCAAUUG